rnacentral:lncRNA from 1 species
GCUCUUCUCUCUUCUGCCUCCUAGCGAAAAAGGUGCCUGCUUCUCCUGCCAUGAUUAUAAGUUUCCUGAGGCUUCCCCAGCCAUGCCUAACUCUCCUUCCCAUUUAUGAGAGAGCCACCUGACAUCAGUCCAUAGGCUGUGAAGAGUAUUCCAGAUCUAUCACAUUUCUGCGAUUCCCAGAUGGCUGGUCAUGAAAAAAAUUCCCUCUUCAGUUUAUGUAUAUGGCAGUGGAACUUCUAGAUAUCUGUUGAGGCCUGGAAGGGGCAAAACAAUUCAGGAAGCAGUUGAGGAUAAAGGGGUUUACAGUGGAAGAGAAGAUCCAGGUGCCUUCAUGGAAAUGCUUGUGGUUGAAAAGAGAUGAAGAUGAGUGUCCCUGGAAAGAGGAAGAAACAGCCAGGAAAAUUAUACCAUUAGCAAGACUGGCAUCAGCAAGUAGUUCACAGUGUUGGUUGUUCUUGGUUUCGCAGGAUUUUAUAGGAGUUCUGAACACUGGGAAGUCCAAGGGCAAGGCGCCAACAGAUUCAACGUCUGGUGAGAGCUACUGUCUGCUUCCAAGGUGGCACUUUCUUACUGCAUUCUCACACAGAAGAAGAGACAAGUGUUGUGUCCUACCAUGGUGGAAAGGCAAAAAGGAGACAAACAGGCUCCCUCAGGACCAUUUUUUUUUUUUUUUUCAGACAGAGUCUUGCUCUGUUGCCAGGCUAGAGUGCAGUGGGGUGAUCUCGGCUCACUGCAACCUCUGCCUCCCAGAUUCAAGCAAUUCUCCUGCCUCAGCCUCCUGAGUAGAUGGGACAACAGGCAUGAGCCACCAUGCCCUGAUAAUUUUUUGUAUUUUAGUGGAGAUGGGGUUUCACCAUGUUGGCCAGUAUGGUCUUGAUCUCUUGACCUUGUGAUCUGCCCACCUCGGCUUCCCAAAGUACUGGGAUUACAGGUGUGAGCCACCGCACCUGGCCCUCAAGACCUUUUAUAAAAGUACUAAUCCCAUUCCUGAAGGCAGAGACCUCAUGACCCGAUAACCUCCUAAAUGCCUCACCUCUUAAUACUGUCACACUGGGGAUUAAGUUUCAGCAUGAAUUUUGGAGGGAAACAAACAUUCAGACCAUAGCAAUUACCAAUCUUUAAGGAGCUACUGCCCUCAAAGUGCACUCAAAUUACAUGGUAUCAAUUGUUAUACCACUUAAUGGACAUUGUUUUCAUCAUGUAAUUUUUUUUUCCACUUUUCUCUGCUUUCUUCUUGCCGUUAUUUUUUAGCAUUGCUAUUGAAUAUAUGCAUUAAAACAUCAUUAUAAUGUCACCUUUCUUUUUACAAAUAUUUAAUGAAUCUCUCCACUUCAUUGCCUGCAGGAUAAAGAUCCAUUACUUGGCUUUUGAAACUCUACAGGACAUAGUCCCAUGUGAAACACCAUCUUUUUAUGGGUUCUAGUAACAAAAUUGGUACAAGCCUAGCAAGAAUGUUGACCUGAGAACCUACUCAAAGUAAUUUAAUCUUUUAUCCCAUGGAGAAAAUAUAAUUCUAUAUCUCAGUUUUUAAGCUUCCACAUGAUUGCCUCCUGCCUAAUCCUUUAUCAGCUGUGACCCAACUUCCCUUACUUUAUCCAGUACACUUACGUGUAGCAUUAAUGACAUUUUGGUCAAUUGUGGCCCACAUAUAAGAAGGUGGUCCCAUAAUGUUAUAAUGGAGUUGACAAAUUCCUGUUGUCUAAUGACAUCAUCAUAGUCAUGUCAUAUUACAAGACAGCACUAACAUGUUUGUGGUGAUGCUGGUAUGAAUAAACCUACUGUGAUGCCAGCUGCAUAAAAGUUUAACAUAUACAAUUAGGUACAGCACCUAAUAAUUGGUAAUGUACAUAAACAACUAUGUUACUAGCUUAUACUUUUUAUUGUAAUUUUAGAGUGUACUUCUUCUACUUAUAAAAAAAAAAACAUUAAAUGUAAAGCUGCCUCCAGCAAUUCCUUUAGGAGGUAUUCCAGAAGAAGGCAUUAUUAUAGGACAUGGCAGCUCCAUGUGUGUUACUACCUCUGAAAAUCUUUCAGUGGGACAACAUGUGGAGGUGGAAGAUAGUGAUAUUGAUGAUCUUGACCUUAUAUAGGCCUGGGCUAAUGUGUGUGUUUUUGCCUUAGUUUUUAAUAAAAAUGUUUAAAAAGUAAAAAUAUGCUUUAUAAAUUGGAAAAACCUUAUAGAAUAAGAAUAUAAAGGAAGAAAGUAUUUUUGGAGGGCUGUGCAAUGUGUUUGUGUUUUAAGCUAAGUAUUAUAACAAAAGAGUCAGAGUUAAAAAAUUAAAAUGUUUACAAAGUGAAAAAGUUACAGUAAGCUAAAGUUAAUUUAGUACCGAAGAAAGAAAUUUUAAAAAUAAAUUUGGCCUAAGUGUACAGUGUUUAUAAAGUCUACAGUAGUGUCCUAGGCCUUCACAUUCACUCACCACUCACACCCUGACUCACACAGAGCAAUUUCCAAUCCUGCCAUCUCCAUUUAUGGUAAGUGCCCUACACAGGUGCACCUUUUUUUUUUAAUUGUCUUUUAUAGUGUAUUUUUACUGCAUUUUUUCUGUGUUUAGGUAUGUUUAGAUAUACAAAUACCAGUGUAUUACAAUUGCCUGUAGUAUUCAGUAUAAUAACAUACUGUACAGGUCAGUAGCCUAGGAGCAAUAGGCUGUACCAUAUAGCCUAGGUAUGUAGCAGGCUAUACCAUCUAGGUUUGUGUAAGUACACACUAUGAUGUUUGCACAAUGAUGAAAUAAUCUAGCGACUCAUUUUUUUUGGAAGGUAUCCCUACUGUUAAGCGAAGCAUGACUAUAGUUAGAACUUCUAUUGUUCCCUCUUUGCUCUGGGGCCUUACACCUACUAAUCUCUCUGCCUGAAAGUUUUUGCCCCAAGCCUCCAUGUUAGCUCUCUUGUUUUAGCUGCCUCCUACCCAUAUUUUAUGUAUCAAACAACUUCCCCUUUCUCUGAGAAUCUUUUCUGGAUAUCUCAUCUUGGACUAAGUGUCCAUACCAUGUGUUGCCAUGCCAUCCUGUGCUGCCUUUAUUAUACAUAGAUAUUGUCACACUUUAUUGUAAUCGGUUCCAUGCCUCCCCAUAGACUGUAAAAAGUUUGGAUCACCUUCAUUUUAUUCAUCAUUUCAUUCCAGUAUCUCUCCCCAUCCCAUCGUUUCUGGCUUAUAGCAUAUGAAUAAAUGCAGUUUCCAAGUU